GGAGAGGUGGCCGAGUGGUUGAAGGCGUCGGUCUUGAAAACCGAUGUGCGCCUUGUGCGUACCGCGAGUUCGAAUCUCGCCCUCUCCGCCA
rnacentral:tRNA from 1 species